rnacentral:rRNA from 1 species
UUGAACGCUGGCGGCAGGCCUAACACAUGCAAGUCGCGCGGAUGAAGGGAGCUUGCUCCUGGAUUCAGCGGCGGACGGGUGAGUAAUGCCUAGGAAUCUGCCUGGUAGUGGGGGAUAACGUCCGGAAACGGGCGCUAAUACCGCAUACGUCCUGAGGGAGAAAGUGGGGGAUCUUCGGACCUCACGCUAUCAGAUGAGCCUAGGUCGGAUUAGCUAGUUGGUGGGGUAAAGGCCUACCAAGGCGACGAUCCGUAACUGGUCUGAGAGGAUGAUCAGUCACACUGGAACUGAGACACGGUCCAGACUCCUACGGGAGGCAGCAGUGGGGAAUAUUGGACAGUGGGCGAAAGCCUGAUCCAGCCAUGCCGCGUGGGUGAAGAAGGUCUUCGGAUUGUAAAGCACUUUAAGUUGGGAGGAAGGGCAGUAAGUUAAUACCUUGCUGUUUUGACGUUACCAACAGAGUAAGCACCGGCUAACUUCGU